GACGAACGCUGGCGGCGUGCUUAACACAUGCAAGUCGAACGGAAAGGCCCUGCUUUUGUGGGGUGCUCGAGUGGCGAACGGGUGAGUAACACGUGAGUAACCUGCCCUUGACUUUGGGAUAACUUCAGGAAACUGCGGCUAAUACCGGAUAGGAGCUCCUGCUGCAUGGUGGGGGUUGGAAAGUUUCGGCGGUUGGGGAUGGACUCGCGGCUUAUCCGCUUGUUGGUGGGGUAGUGGCUGACCAAGGCUUUGACGGGUAGCCGGCCUGAGAGGGUGACCGGCCACAUUGGGCCUGAGAUACGGACCAGACUGCUACGGGAGGCAGAAGUGGGGAAUAUUGCACAAUGGGCGGAAGCCUGAUGCAGCAACGCCGCGUGCGGGAUGACGGCCUUCGGGUUGUAAACCGCUUUCGCCUGUGACGAAGCGUGAGUGACGGUAAUGGGUCAAGAAGCACCGGCUAACUACGUG
rnacentral:rRNA from 1 species